rnacentral:rRNA from 1 species
UACGGAGGAUUCAAGCGUUAUCCGGAUUUAUUGGGUUUAAAGGGUGCGUAGGCGGACGGUCAAGUCAGCGGUAAAAAUGCGGUGCUCAACGCCGUACAGCCGUUGAAACUGGGGGCCUUGAGUGGGCGAGAAGAAGGCGGAAUGCGUGGUGUAGCGGUGAAAUGCAUAGAUAUCACGCAGAACCCCGAUUGCGAAGGCAGCCUUCCGGCGCCCUACUGACGCUGAGGCACGAAAGUGCGGGGAUCGAACAGG